rnacentral:lncRNA from 1 species
CUUGCGGAGACUGGGCGCAGGGCGUGGGGGUCAGUGAGGGCGCGGUGGGUCAGCCCCAGCCCGGCUGGCAGUCGCGGGGCUGGGAAGGUAGGGAACCCUCCGCUCUCACCCCACUUCCUGUUUGGUCGGUGUGUUCUGUGACCAUAGAUGGUCAAGUCUGGGGCCGCGCGGAAGCCUCCGCCCUGUGGUUUUGGAGCCCUUCCUCCCGGCGCGCAGGGUGUGGUCCCCGAGAAUAAGAUGAGCAGAAUUAAAGCAGAUCCUGCACCCACUCUGCUGAAAUCCGGCUUCUGAGGCAGCCUCGCCCAGGGCUGGGUGGGCUCAGGCGGCUGCUACUCGGUUCAGGGGAGGUUACGCACGGUGGCUGCCGCGCGCAGGGGAGGCUUCGCUUCCGUACUCCUUGGGCCGGGAGAUCCGAUCUUUGUUCCCUCAAGACUCACACUCUCCAACCGGUCAUUAUCCUCCCACAAAGAUUUAUUUCUAGAAAAAAUUGGCAAGUGCCACAGUUCCCGCCCCUUCAGCUGAACGACUGUGACAGCUCCGUGUUUCAAGUUGAAUGCAGGCGUUAUGUGCCAGAGUCAAUCAUUCAACAAAUAAAGUUCUUAAAAUAACAGCUACCAUUUACUGCACGCUGACUACUUGCCAGGCCCAUGCUGAGUUCUUCAAGCGUAUUUUCAUUUACUCCUAAUAGCAACUCUCGGUGAGACAGAAGGAACAUAGACCAUACACGCAUUCUAGAGGAAGAGGAGAGAGAAGAGGAAGCAGGAAGGAGAAUGAAGAAAGUUUCCUCAUCAGAUAAUAUUUUCCUGACAGUGUCUUGGAUUUUACUUCUGCCCAGAGCCAUUUCUUAACUUUAGAAUCAUUUACCAUCUGGAGAGGCUGACAGUGAAAACAGUUUUAUUUUCAAGCCAAGCCAA